rnacentral:rRNA from 1 species
GAUGAACGCUAGCGACAGGCCUAACACAUGCAAGUCGAGGGGCAGCACAAGGAGCAAUCUGAGGUGGCGACCGGCGCACGGGUGAGUAACACGUAUGCAACCUGCCUUCAACAAGGGGAUAACCCGUUGAAAGACGGACUAAUACCCUAUAACACAGGGGUCCCGCAUGGGAAUAUUUGUUAAAGGACAACCGGUUGAAGAUGGGCAUGCGUUCCAUUAGCUAGUUGGCGGGGUAACGGCCCACCAAGGCAACGAUGGAUAGGGGAACUGAGAGGUUUAUCCCCCACACUGGUACUGAGACACGGACCAGACUCCUACGGGAGGCAGCAGUGAGGAAUAUUGGUCAAUGGGCGAGAGCCUGAACCAGCCAAGUCGCGUGCAGGAAGAAUGUCCUAUGGAUUGUAAACUGCUUUUGCAAGGGAAUAAAGUGGGCCACGUGUGGCCUUUUGCAAGUACCUUGCGAAUAAGGAUCGGCUAACUCCGUGCCAGCAGCCGCGGU